GUGGGGAAUCUUCCGCAAUGGACGAAAGUCUGACGGAGCAACGCCGCGUGAGUGAAGAAGGUUUUCGGAUCGUAAAGCUCUUUCGUUAGGGACGAACGUGCUCUUUGUGAAUAAUGAGGAGUAAUGACGGUACCUAAAUAAGAAGCCACGGCUAACUACGUGCCAGCAGCCGCGGUAAUACGUAGGUGGCAAGCGUUGUCCGGAAUUAUUGGGCGUAAAGCGCGCGCAGGCGGGAUAUCAAGUCUGUCUUAAAAGUGCGAGGCUCAACCUCGUGAGGGGACAGAAACUGGUAUUCUUGAGUGUCGGAGAGGAAAGUGGAAUUCCAAGGGUAGCGGUGAAAUGCGUAGAGAUUUGGAAGAACACCAGUGGCGAAGGCGACUUUCUGGACGAUGUCUGACGCUGAGGCGCGAAAGCUAGGGGAGCGAACGGGAUUAGAAACCCGGGUAGUCC
rnacentral:rRNA from 1 species